UUUUUUUCCCCCCUGCAAAAAACCCGGAUUCUGAUUUUAGGAGACAUACACUGAAACGGAAGCUCUAAAAGGGCGGGUGGUCUUCUAAUCUAUCUCUAUGACGCUCAGCACAAUGGUUGGCACUUUACAUAUAACAGGGUACAGAGAAAACAGAAGCUCCGAUACAUGCCUUGUCCAAUUUCACACAGCUAAUCCAUGGCAGAGCCUGAUAUGAAACAAGCUGUAUAUAUGGAAGACAAUGCAUGACUCUCCUUCAGCAUCAAGUUUACAUCCAUUGCGAGUUAUUCACAUAUUAAAAUUUAAGGCUGUCUGUGAGACGUUGUGCAACUAUGAUAGGGUAGCACACAAGCAGCAACUUCUUUGACAUUGGCUGUAGCAAUUUCUUACUAGGCAUGUCUCCUGAGGCACAGGAAACAAAAACAAACAUGAACUAUUGGGAUUUCAUCAAAAUAAAAACUUCUGCAGAGCAAAGGAAACAACCAACAAAACUAAAAGAUGAAUAUGACUUUUGCGCUUCCGAUGAAGUCCAGAGCUUUCAGUUUGUUCCAGACUGUCUUCAUUUUUGUAUUUUGGCUCUGAGGAUGGAGUUCGGUUUUUGACAAUACAAGCAUGAAAAGAACUUAAGCCUGCAGAACUAUGAAGAAAGAAUGCAUGAUCAUAAAAUAGAAAUCAUAUAUUCGUUCGAUGAUAGUAAACAUAUAUUAAGACAUUUUCAAUUUGUGUUUUCAGAAACUCACUGUGUGGUCACUGUGAGUAGGAUAUAAUGUGGUGUUUAACCCAAAACUUCCUUCCAUAGGCCUGAUGUCAUUGGCAAAGGCUAUUAUUUCAAAAUGUAUAUGGAAGUUUCAUGAUUUGAACUGAAGUACAGUUGGAAGAUGCUCACUUUUUGUUGUUUUUUUUCUAAUGAGUCUUGACACAUGCUAAAUUAAAAUAAAAAAAGAAAUAUAAAUGAUUUAUUUGUGAAAAACACAUUCAUAUAUUCAGUAAGGUUGUGACAGUUUUUAGACCUAUUUAAUUAAUGAUGGGAUUUAUUAAGUUGUUUCACUAAAUGUUUCAUUUCUUUUCCUAUGGAGUUAUGCUGGGGAAAGUGGGGAGAAUAGUAAUUUUUUUCUAGAAAACUUAAAUGUUUUCCAGAAAAUUCAAUAGCCUCUAUAGAAGUGCCCUUUCUAGUGAAUUGAAAGUAGAAAAUUAGAUCAAAUUAUCUAUGGAAGAUAUAUCAAGAUUAAUGAAGGGUAAAAUCAAUCAAUCAAACUUAUAUUAGAAACAGCGUUGGUCUAGUUGGGAUGUGCCACUUGCCUGUUGGAUUAACUCGGCAUUUUAUUCAUGCUCAAGUUAUUGGAAUAUUACAAUUUAAUAAAUUUAUUAAUUUAGUAAUUAUUAAUAAUUAUUAGUUUUAAUAAUUAAGACAUAAUUUAGUGUAGAUAAACUCUCCCUUUUUAGAUAUACAGUUUGAUGAGUUUUUACAAAUAAAUACAAUCCUGUAAUCACCUUGUGAUAAUGUGAUUUAUAAUAAAUAUAAAUUUGGUCUUCCAUUUGUGAUAUUGUGAUUUAUAAUGAGAAAUAUAAAUUUGGC